UCAUAAUUAGUUCGGAUAAUUAGGAGUUAGAGAUUCCACGGAUCGAUUCUUGAGAUGGAAACAAUGGCGUGCCGAGAGAUCGAUUUCACGUUUCUUCCUCUUUCCCUUCGUUACGAGCCAAAUUCAGCCCCCUUCUAGGAAUUAAAAGGAUGGAUUUAAUAGGAUGGAUUUAAUGCCAUCCUCUCGGAUGGCAGGUGAUAAUUGAUUGACAUAAAAAACGUCACUCGCGAGCGGAGACGAUUCCCUGGAGGCGAUGACCUUGAAGAUGCGCUUCGUCAACUUUCACCAAGUGGUAACAUAGACGCCGUAGACGAGUAACAGGCUAGUCAAUGUCAUCCGUGCUGCAACUCGUGGUUAAGGCCCGAGUCCAUUCUCGGAGUUUCCACGGAUCACGCUGGAAAAGUGGAGGAGGUUCCGGUUGUGUCAGACUGACGAAAUGCAAGUGUCUCUGCGGAGGAAAUUAAUGUGGACGUGCACAAAAAGCGAUAGCAAUAUUAAAGCGAUGUGCACAAUAUAAAUGUUAAUUAACGUCUUCACGGCAAGUAAAUGAUGAAGCAAAAAAAUAUUGUAAUCAAUGUAUAAUACUUAUUAAUUUUGAAUGAUUUACAAUUGUAUAUAAUUUUAUACACGAAAUCCUUAAAUAAGGAUUAUGCUCAAUAAAAAAUUAUUCUAGAAGAAGAAGAAAUGGAACAGUUGCAAUAAUAACACAUAAUUUUGCAGAUUGUAAGAGUGUCAGAGCGUCAUAGCCUGAUUAAGAUUGUACGAGGCCAUGAAAUGUACUUAUGGUGCAGUUUACAGUAUAUUUUUCAAUUCUCGAGGAUAAACCGUCCAAAGAAAAUAUUAAUUAUUAUAAAAUAUUAUCACAUAUAUAUAAUUAAUUCUUUAAUAUAUGACUUCCUCUUCACAGUUUUUCUCCGCUAUAACUGGGCAAACUUAACACUAAUGCACAGCGUGAUAAUCAUUAUAAUCAUCAUUCCUCGAUGUUGUUACAUAUCACUGAGAAUUAAAAUCCGGAUAUUUUUGUAUCGUGUAAAAAUCCGAGAAUAAUGGCUGUGCAUAUAAUGAUAAGAUAAAGACAAUAUUAACCUGAGCAUGUAAAACUUGAGCAUCUUCCUUCCCGUUUCCUUUACGAUAUAUUUAGAAUAGUGUUAUAUAAAAAUUUUACAUUGCAUUACUUUGUUAUGUAACAAUUUUAUGAUGUUAUUUCUCACCGGAAGAACAUGGGAAACUGUAAAAGAAUUGUACUUGGAUAGUUUCAUGCUCUCAACUCUUUUCACUCGCCCAGUCGAACAACCCCUCGACUGCGACUCGCACCACAAUAAAUCAGGAUUUGUAAGAGAGGUUUGCGUAUAUGCAUCCUAUAUAUACAUACGCACGUAUAUACUAUAUAUACAACAAUCGCGCGUCGUCUUCGCGCUGAUGUAACACUUUUGCCUGCAGCUCCGGUAACUUCUCGAACACCUGUUAAGCGCGCUCGUAAUAGCUGGCGACGUCCGCCGGCGUGCAUGUGUCUUAUAGAAUACUUAAGAUUUCUCUCUGUUAUAAAAUCAUGUCACUUGAAUUCGGAUGCAGUUGUUCCAUUUCACUGCAUGUAAAAAGAAUUGCUCCAAAAUAAAUAAAAAAUUGUAAAUAGUAAAUAAUAAAUUUUUAUUAAAGAAAA